rfam:Microgenomates bacterium GW2011_GWC1_39_7 TT57_C0002, whole genome shotgun sequence.
CGGGGUAUAGUUUAGUGGUAGAAUGAGCGGCUGGGGGUCGCUUGGUCUCGGUUCGAUUCCGAGUACCCCGA